CCUACGGGGGGCAGCAGUGGGGAAUAUUGCACAAUGGGGGAAACCCUGAUGCAGCGACGCCGCGUGAGUGAAGCAGUAUUUCGGUAUGUAAAGCUCUAUCAGCAGGGAAGAAAAAAGACGGUACCUGACUAAGAAGCCCCGGCUAACUACGUGCCAGCAGCCGCGGUAAUACGUAGGGGGCAAGCGUUAUCCGGAUUUACUGGGUGUAAAGGGAGCGUAGACGGUAUGGCAAGUCUGAAGUGAAAGCCCAGGGCUUAACCCUGGGACUGCUUUGGAAACUGUGCGGCUGGAGUGCAGGAGGGGUAAGCGGAAUUCCUAGUGUAGCGGUGAAAUGCGUAGAUAUUAGGAGGAACACCGGUGGCGAGGGCGGCUUACUGGACUGUAACUGACGUUGAGGCUCGAAAGCGUGGGGAGCAAACAGGAUUAGAUACCCUUGUAGUC
rnacentral:rRNA from 1 species